rnacentral:lncRNA from 1 species
AGAAGACAGACAACUUGUGGAAGUUGGUGAUUUCCUUCCAUCACGUGAUCCCCAGGGAUUGAAUUCAAAUGCCAGCUAGAAACAAUCCACAAAGCUUGGAUUCCGACCAUGAGGAAGCAGCUUCCGAAGCCCAUCAGAACAAGUGGUGUCUCUGAAGCCCUUCAGUGGCCCAGCAAUACAGCGGACAAGCUGAAAAGUACUAUGUCUCGAUAUUCGGUUGGCACUGUAUUCUAUAGUGCCAUGCCCACGGGUUGAUCCGAGACAGGAUCUCACUCUAUAGCCCUGGCUAGCUUGGAACUACCUAUGUAGACCAAGCUGGCCUGGAAUUCAAUCAGGAGUCUGCUUCUGCCUCCUGAGCAAUGGGAUUAAAGAGAUGGGUCAACACGGGAAGCCGAGGGUAUUUGUUUUCUUCUUCUCUGAUAUAUUACACCCUGUCAGCAGGUUCCCCUUCCUCCUCUCAUCCCAGUGCCUCCCCAUCCCCCCACUUCCCAAUCUCCUCCUCCACUUCCCUUCAGAAAAGGGCAGGCCUUCCCGGGGUAUCAACUAAACAUGGCAUAUCAAGUUGCAAUAAACCUAGGCACCUCCCUCAGAUUAAGGCUGG